rnacentral:rRNA from 1 species
AACGAACGCUGGCGGCAUGCCUAACACAUGCAAGUCGAACGAGACCUUCGGGUCUAGUGGCGCACGGGUCCGUGACGCGUGGGAACCUGCCCUUAGGUUCGGCAUAACUCCCCGAAAGGGGUGCUAAUACCGGAUCAUGUCUUCGAUCCAAAGAUUUAUCGCCUUUGGAUGGGCCCGCGUUGGCUUGGCUAGUUGGUAGGGUAAAAGCCUACCGAGGCGACGAUCCGUAGCUGGGCUGAGAGGAUGAGCAGCCACACUGGGACUGAGGCACGGCCCAGACUCCUACGGGAGGCAGCAGUGGGGAAUAUUGGACAAUGGGCGAAAGCCUGAUCCAGCAAUGCCGCGUGAGUGAUGAAGGCCGUAGGGUUGUAAAGCUCUUUUACCCGGGAUGAUAAUGACAGUACCGGGAGAAUAAGCUCCGGCUAACUCCGUG